rnacentral:rRNA from 1 species
AUGUCAUAUGGUGUAGAUACAAAUUGGUAUAUGGAUACAGGUGCCACUAAUCAUAUCACUGGAGAGCUGGACAAGCUGACGAUGCAUGAAAAGUACAGUGGCAAUGAUCAAAUCUACACAGCUGCAAAUGGUCCAGGUAUGGAAAUUAGUCAUAUUGGAAAAUCAAUCAUUGAAACCCCACACACAAAUCUUGAACUCAAUGGCAUCUUGCAUGUUCCUAAUGCUGCUAAGAAUCUUCUAUCUGUCCAUAGAAUUGCUCUUGAUAAUAAUGUGUUUCUAGAGUUUCACCCUUUCUUCUUUUUGAUCAAGGAUCAGGUCACGAAGAGGGUUCUUCAUAGGGGUAUUUGUGUGCAAGGGCUCUACUCGUUGCUUCCCAAGUAUUGCAAAUUCAAUAAACAAGUCUAUGGUUGUAUCAAGCUUUCUGCUGAAAGGUGGCAUAGUCGAUUAGGUCAUCCGUCUUUUGCUACUGUUCAUCAAAUUCUUAGUAGGAAUAAAAUCCCAAUUGUUGGUGAGAGAAAUUUAGAAACUGUGUGUGAUUCAUGUCAAAAAGCAAAAAGUCAUCAACUACCAUAUCCUGUCUCUACUAGUGUGUCUACAAAACCCUUGCAACUUAUUUUCUCUAAUGUUUGGGGCUCAGCACCCACCUCUGUUGGUCGACACUCUUACUAUGUGAGCUUUAUUGAUGACUUUAGCAAAUAUACUUGGAUAUAUCUUCUUAAAAAGCGUUCAGAUGUGUUUCAAGUUUUCCACAAUUUUCAAGCCCUCGUUGAACGCAAGUUUGAUUGCAAAAUUUUUGCCAUGCAGUCAGACUGGGGUGGUGAGUAUGAAAAAUUGAAUUCCUUCUUUCAACAAAUAGGUAUAUCUCACCAUGUGUCAUGCCCUCACGCACACCAACAAAACGGCUCUGCUGAACGCAAGCAUAGGCAUGUUGUUGAAGUAGGGUUAGCUCUUCUCGCUAAUGCCUCUAUGCCCCUCAAAUUUUAG